rnacentral:rRNA from 1 species
AGGGUGUUAUUGGUUGAACAAACCAUCUUUAUGUGACUUUUGCGCCACAUAGAUUCCCUAAGCCAACAUCGAGGUGCCAACCCCCACUAUUGAUAAGGACUCUUUAGUGAGAUUAGCCUGUUAUCCCUAAGGUAGCUUGAUCUAUUGAUCUUGAAUAAGGGUCAGAAUUUAGAUUAAUUAAUCUUUUAUUUAGGGAUGAUUAGUAACUUCCCUGGUCGCCCCAACCGAAUUUAUUAAAAAUUUAUAUUUUUAUUAAAAUAAAGCUCUAUAGGGUCUUCUUGUCCUUCGACGGAAUCUAACAGUCUUCAGUUAGAGAUUAAUUUUUAGAUGGCUUAUGGAGACAGUCUUUAUUUCGUUGGUCCUUUCAUUCUAGCCCACAAUUAAUGGGCAAGUGAUUAUGCUACCUUUGCACGGUUAGGAUACCGCGGCCGUUGAACUUAGUCACUGGGCAGGAAUUACUUCCCAUGUUGAGGCGGGAAGCA